rnacentral:rRNA from 1 species
UACGAAGGGGACUAGCGUUGUUCGGAAUCACUGGGCGUAAAGCGCACGUAGGCGGAUUUGUAAGUCAGGGGUGAAAUCCCGGGGCUCAACCUCGGAACUGCCUUUGAUACUGCGAAUCUUGAGUCCGAUAGAGGUGGGUGGAAUUCCUAGUGUAGAGGUGAAAUUCGUAGAUAUUAGGAAGAACACCGGUGGCGAAGGCGGUUUUCUAGCUUAUUCCUGACGCUGAGGCGCGAAAGCAAGGGGAGCAAACAGG